UUUCCUGUUUGAAACAGAGAGACAGAUAAUUAAGCAACAGAGCAAUGACUUAAGAACACACAAAUUAUGAAAGCAUAGAUUGUGAAAGCCCCCAGAUUUUGAAAGAACAAAAUCUCACAAGCAGGGACAACACCUUUAAUUUAAACUUCAACAGGCUUUGCAUAACUCCCAGGUGUUGCCCUGAUAAACCCUGCAGGUGUAGGUGUACGCACGGUCAUCGGACAUAGGCAUCCAUGUGAGGCGACAAAUGUUAGGUGGCACCAGGGAGACAUUGGCUCGGCGUCGGGUCUCAAUAUGUGGGAUCAGGUGGACCGGGUUGUUUGGGUAGGUGGAUCCCAUGAGUCGCCCAUCCUGUUUGAAUUCGCAGAAUGGCCCCGGGAUCUUGUGGGUCUCUGGGAAUUCACAGUCAACUCGGAGGUUCCUCUCUAUGUAGGUAAGGCAGGAGUACAUCUGUGGCCCUCGAGGGGUGUUCCAAAACCAGGAGUCAAAAUCCAAGAAGCCAGGUUUCUGAUAUGGGUCUGUUGCAGUGACCACACCCAUCAUACAUAAUAGACAUGCUA